UACUUAAAGAUUUUAACACAUAAUUUUUAUUAUAUCUGUGAGCGUUGGGCGUGCUUAGGACGUAAGUCUUGUAAAAUAAAGUCCCACACUUGAGUCUCGAGGCGUUUUGCUAGAGCCCCGUCCUAGGGCGAGUCCCGAAAGAGUCUUUUAAAACAGUGGGACUGACUCUAGUUGGACUUACGUAGUUUUAACAAUCAAUUAAUUUUAAUACAAGUAUUAAAUACGUUUGAAAAAUUAAAAUUAAAUUAAAUUUGGUUGAUAUGAGAUGGAAUCGGAUAAACCCAGCCCAAUUGAAAACCUGAGCCCGAACCCGGUAACCAACUUGGACCACGAAACAACCGGGUGAACAUUUCGUGAACCGACCCGCCCCUUUUUAACACCGAUACAAUUCAUCUUCCCUCCCAUUAUUUCACUUCUCUAUAAAAAUCCCGCCAAUUCAAAUUGACGAUCUCUUUCUCUAUCGCUCUCUUCUCUCUGUCAGGGUAUUUCAAAAUCCAUAAUCGCCAUAGCUUCUGUAAGUUCAGCUCAAAAAUCUGUAAUCAACAUUCAGAAAUUUUCAUUCGAUUCGUCAUUCAUCAUCAUCAGUAGCUAAGAUAUGUCAAAAAUUAGAGGUUCCUGAUGCCAAUAGUGGCAAUGAACAAGCAACACAAGUGCCCCGAAUGCUAUUAGUGACAACAAAUUCUUUCUUUUCGCAAGCAUUCUCUGCACCACAUUGCCACUUUAUGCUGCUGGAUCAGUUAAACGCCCAUGGUCCAAUCUCAGAAUCCCAGACAUUGUCACCAUUUGCUCGGGACAUGAACAUUGACAAAUCAAAACCCGUGAGUCUUCGACUACGUUGUUCUGUUUUAAUUGAUGCAACAAGACGUGUUAAGUAAAUACCUGUUGCUAUUCAAAUUAUUUGUUGCAAAUUUCCUGCUACACCAGCAAUUAUUUCUGGUUACAAGUAGCAUCCAAUGCUUGUGAAAAUGUGUUAUAAUAUAUAUA